CAAUAAGCGGAGGAAAAGAAACCAACAGGGAUUGCCUCAGUAACGGCGAGUGAAGCGGCAAAAGCUCAAAUUUGAAAUCUGGCUUCGGCCCGAGUUGUAAUUUGUAGAGGAUGUUUCGGGCAAGAUCCGGGCUUAAGUUCCUUGGAACAGGACGUCAUAGAGGGUGAGAAUCCCGUACGUGGUCCAGGGUCGCGCCCAUGUGAAACUCCUUCGACGAGUCGAGUUGUUUGGGAAUGCAGCUCAAAAUGGGUGGUAAAUUUCAUCUAAAGCUAAAUAUUGGCCAGAGACCGAUAGCGCACAAGUAGAGUGAUCGAAAGAUGAAAAGCACUUUGAAAAGAGAGUUAAACAGCAUGUGAAAUUGUUGAAAGGGAAGCGCUUGCAACCAGACUUGUUUGUAGGGUUCAGCCGUCGUUCUCGUCGGUGUAUUUCCCUAUCUACAGGCCAGCAUCAGUUCGGACGGAAGGUCAAAGGCCUUGGGAAUGUAGCAUCCUCCGGGAUGUCUUAUAGCCCUCGGUGUAAUGCUUCCAGCCCGGACUGAGGAACGCGCUUCGGCUCGGAUGCUGGCGUAAUGGUUUUAAGCGACCCGUCUUGAAACACGGACCAAGGAGUCUAACAUCUAUGCGAGUAUUUGGGUGUCAAACCCAUAUGCGUAAUGAAAGUGAACGGAGGUGGGAAUCUUCGGAUGCACCAUCGACCGAUCCUGAUGUCUUCGGAUGGAUUUGAGUAAGAGCAUAGCUGUUGGGACCCGAAAGAUGGUGAACUAUGCCUGAAUAGGGUGAAGCCAGAGGAAACUCUGGUGGAGGCUCGCAGCGGUUCUGACGUGCAAAUCGAUCGUCAAAUUUGGGCAUAGGGGCGAAAGACUAAUCGAACUAUCU
rnacentral:rRNA from 1 species